UACAGAGGGGGCAAGCGUUGUUCGGAAUUACUGGGCGUAAAGGGCGCGUAGGCGGCCUGCUAAGUCGAACGUGAAAUCCCUGGGCUCAACCCAGGAACUGCGUCCGAUACUGGUUGGCUUGAAUUCGGGAGAGGGAUGUGGAAUUCCAGGUGUAGCGGUGAAAUGCGUAGAUAUACUGGAGGAACACCGGUGGCGAAGGCGGCAUCC
rnacentral:rRNA from 1 species